CCUACGGGUGACAGCAGUGGGGAAUCUUCCGCAAUGGGCGAAAGCCUGACGGAGCAACGCCGCGUGAUCGAAUGAAGCCCUUCGGGUUGUAAAGAUCUGUUGACAGGGACGAAUAAGCAAUGCGAAUAGUUUUUUGUAUGACGGUACCUGUUUAGCAACCUCCGGCUAACUACGUGCCAGCAGCCGCGGUAAUACGGAGGGAGCAAGCGUUGUCCGGAAUUACUGGGCGUAAAGGGCGCGUAGGUGGGUAGUUAAGUCAGGUGUGAAAGCGCCGGGCUCAACCUGGAAACUGCAAUUGAAACUGGGUGUCUUGAGUGCAGGAGAGGAAAGUGGAAUUCCUAGUGUAGCGGUGAAAUGCGUAGAUAUUAGGAAGAACACCAGUGGCGAAGGCGGCUUACUGGACUGUAACUGACGCUGAGGCGCGAAAGCGUGGGUAGCAAACAGGAUUAGAUACCCUUGUAGUC
rnacentral:rRNA from 1 species